CGCGUAGGCGGCCGCGCAAGUCGGACGUGAAAUCCCUCGGCUCAACCGAGGAACUGCGUCCGAAACUGCACGGCUUGAGUCCCGGAGAGGGUAGCGGAAUUCCCAGUGUAGCGGUGAAAUGCGUAGAUAUUGGGAGGAACACCCGUGGCGAAGGCGGCUACCUGGACGGGUACUGACGCUGAGGCGCGAAGGCUAGGGGAGCAAACA
rnacentral:rRNA from 1 species